AACUUUCAACAACGGAUCUCUUGGUUCUCGCAUCGAUGAAGAACGCAGCGAAAUGCGAUAAGUAAUAUGAAUUGCAGAUUUUCGUGAAUCAUCGAAUCUUUGAACGCACAUUGCGCCCUUUGGUAUUCCAGAAGGCAUGCCUGUUUGAGCGUCAUUU
rnacentral:rRNA from 1 species